CAGCUCUUUGUGGCGUAGAGCGAGUACCUGGGGCGGACGGACGAACAGCUGCAGGUUGAGGUUUCCUUCAGAGACGUGAGCUGACUUUCUAGCUCCGUCACCUGAUCAAAAGAAAAGUUAUCAGGGAAAACACAUCAGCAACACAGUGGAGAAGUUAAGGACUGAUCACGCCUGGAAGAACUCCGUCACCCUCGGACAUCUUCCUCAGUACGUCAGUACAUUUACAGAAAAAAGGUUCCCCUGCAGCUCUAGAAUCUCUUUGCCUUUGUCCCUGUUGGUGCUCAGCAACUCAUCUGUUUUGGUCUUCAGUUCAGCGGUCUUUGGUGGCAGACAGGAUCUGUUCCUGGCUCUCCAGCAGCCUCUUCUCGAUGUCAAAGUACUGCUGCUCUGUAGGUGUAUACAACAUUCAACAGGAAAAGGUGAAGACACAGGACAGACAUGUACUGACAACAGAACUUAUUUGUCUCUUUUUUGGACUCUUUCUUCAAACAAGCCCAGAAUGAAUAUGUCAUCAAAGCUACAGAAAACAAAAUAAGCUAAAUUUAAAGCUGUCGGGGAAAAAACACACAUCAAUGAAACACACGUAAAUGUACACUGAUUUAUAAUAGAGAUAGCCUCCAGCUCGUAGUUUAUGUUAACUAGCAGCUACUACUCACCACUGUCUGCUUUGAACCGCUCGUGUUGCGUCUUUAGCGCCUCGUUAGCAUUCUGCAGCUCCGUCAC